rnacentral:rRNA from 1 species
UACGAAGGGGGCUAGCGUUGCUCGGAAUCACUGGGCGUAAAGCGUGCGUAGGCGGUUCGUUAAGUCCGUUGUGAAAGCCCUGGGCUCAACCUGGGAAUGGCAGUGGAUACUGGCGAGCUAGAGUGUGAUAGAGGAUGGUGGAAUUCCCGGUGUAGCGGUGAAAUGCGUAGAGAUCGGGAGGAACACCAGUGGCGAAGGCGGCCAUCUGGAUCAACACUGACGCUGAGGCACGAAAGCGUGGGGAGCAAACAGG